rnacentral:rRNA from 1 species
GAGUUUGAUCCUGGCUCAGAAUCAACGCUGGCGGCGUGCCUAACACAUGCAAGUCGAACGAGAAAGUGGAGCAAUCCAUGAGUAAAGUGGCGACCGGGUGAGUAACACGUGACUAACCUACCUUCGAGUGGGGGAUAACCUCGGGAAACCGAGGCUAAUACCGCAUAACAUCGCAAGAUCAAAGCAGCAAUGCGCUGGAAGAGGGGGUCGCGGCUGAUUAGCCAGUUGGCGGGUAACGGCCCACCAAAGCGAAGAUCGGUAGCCGGCCUGAGAGGGCGCACGGCACACUGGAACUGAAACACGGUCCAGACUCCUACGGGAGGCAGCAGUGGGGAAUUUUGCGCAAUGGGGGAAACCCUGACGCAGCAACGCCGCGUGGAGGAUGAAGCCCCUUGGGGCGUAAACUCCUUUCGACCAAGACGAUAAUGACGGUACUGGUGGAAGAAGCACCGGCUAACUCUGUGCCAGCAGCCGCGGUAAUACAGAGGGUGCGAGCGUUGUUCGGAAUUAUUGGGCGUAAAGGGCGCGUAGGCGGUGCCACAAGUCACCUGUGAAAUCUCUGAGCUUAACUCAGAGCCUGCAGGCGAAACUGUGGUGCUGGAGUAUGGGAGAGGUGCGUGGAAUUCCCGGUGUAGCGGUCGAAAUGCGUAAUAUCGGGAGGAACACCUGUGGCGAAAAGCGGCGCACUGGACCAUAACUGACGCUGAGGCGCGAAAGCUAGGGGAGCAAACAGAUUAGA